CGCUGGCGGCGUGCCUAAUACAUGCAAGUCGAACGGUCUUUCUAUGGAAGCUUGCUUCCACUGAGAAGAUAGUGGCGAACGGGUGAGUAACACGUGGGUAACCUGCCCAUAAGAGGGGGAUAACAUCCGGAAACGGGUGCUAAUACCGCAUAGUUUUCUUGAUCGCAUGAUCGGGAAAGGAAAGACGGCCUUUGUGCUGUCGCUUAUGGAUGGACCCGCGGCGUAUUAGUUAGUUGGUGAGGUAACGGCUCACCAAGACGAUGAUACGUAGCCGACCUGAGAGGGUGAUCGGCCACAUUGGGACUGAGACACGGCCCAAACUCCUACGGGAGGCAGCAGUAGGGAAUCUUCCGCAAUGGACGAAAGUCUGACGGAGCAACGCCGCGUGAGUGAAGAAGGUUUUCGGGAAUCGUAAAACUCUGUUGUCAGAGAAGAACAAGUUGGAGAGUAACUGCUCCAGCCUUGACGGUAUCUGACCAGAAAGCCACGGCUAACUACGUGCCAGCAGCAGC
rnacentral:rRNA from 1 species